GUAGCCGGUGCGCGGGGUGGCUGGGGCUACGUGCAGAGCUGUCGCGGAGCCGGAACAGCAGCGGUGAAGCCCCUCGGCUCGGCCGAGACCGCCGUGCCCAUUGCUCGCCUCGGUUGCCGCCGCUUUAGCCGCAGCCGCUGCUGCCGCCGCCGGGGGAGAGGCAGCCUAUUGUCUUUCUCCGCGGCGAAGGUGAGGAGCUGUCUCGGCUCGGCCCGCGGGGGAGCCCCGGGAGCCGCACGGUGGCAUUUUUCAACUCCGCUGGAGCCAGUGCCCAGGAGGAACAAAGGGUGUGCUGCCAGCCCCUGGCUCACCCAGUGGCCUCGUCCCAGAAGAAGCCAGAGGUAGCGGCCCCAGCCCCAGAGAGUGGGGGUGAGUCUGUGUUUGGGGAGACCCACCGGGCCCUGCAGGGGGCCAUGGAGAAGCUGCAGCGACUUUAUGGAAGGAGAAGGUGGACCUGAAGGAGCGGGUAGAGAAACUAGAGCUUCAAUUCAUCCACCUCUCAGGACAGACAGACACCAUAGAAAGUACAUCAGCCAGGGGGCAGUGUCAGAGACGCAGCACUGGGAGAGGAGGACAUCGUCAGGCUGGCCCAGGACCAGGAGGAGAUGAAGGCUUUUAUCCUAGAUCACCACUGGAUUGCUGACAGAUAGAGGAGGUGGGACCCUGACUAUCACCCCUAAUCUGCAGUGGAUUUGGCUCUCGGCACUCCCAGGCUGGGAGCUGGAUACCUGCCCUGGCAGCAUGGCUCAGACUGCAUGACAGGUACGGCGUGCCCAGGAUGAUGUGCCCAGGCCUCUGGCCGCCUGAGUCCAGCCCCCCACACAACCCCCUCCAAGCUCCCAGCCCCUACACCAUAAACCAUGAGCUCUGUGCCCUCUCUGAUGGUUCCACAUCUGCCACCUU
rnacentral:lncRNA from 1 species